GACGAACGCUGGCGGCGUGCUUAACACAUGCAAGUCGAACGGAAAGGCCCUGCUUUUGUGGGGUGCUCGAGUUGCGAACGGGUGAGUAACACGUGAGUAACCUGCCCUUGACUUUGGGAUAACUUCAGGAAACUUGGGCUAAUACCGGAUAGGAGCUCCUGCUGCAUGGUGGGGGUUGGAAAGUUUCGGCGGUUGGGGAUGGACUCGCGGCUUAUCAGCUUGUUGGUGGGGUAGUGGCUUACCAAGGCUUUGACGGGUAGCCGGCCUGAGAGGGUGACCGGCCACAUUGGGACGGAGAUACGGCCCAGACUCCUACGGGAGGCAGCAGUGGGGAAGAGUGCACAAUGGGCGGAAGCCUGAUGCAGCAACGCAGCGUGCGGGAUGACGGCCUUCGGGUUGUAAACCGCUUUCGCCUGUGACGAAGCGUGAGUGACGGUAAUGGGUAAAGAAGCACCGGCUAACUACGUG
rnacentral:rRNA from 1 species